UAACCCUAAACAGCCAACCAAUUCCUCGACCUGUAGGCAUCUCUACUCAAGGCGGCGCUACUUACAAGAGAGAAGACACCUAAGAUGCGCCAACGAGCCGAAGAGCUCAAACACAGUGAAGCCCGAUGGAUUCCAAAGCUAGAGGGGUACCAUCAACCAAAAGGCCAGAAAAAAAAACGGGCUAAGCAGAAAAAACUAUUCCACACAGUAGGCCAUUGAAAAGGGGCAACAGAGGUUGGUCGACCUAUCUCCAGGCGAGAACUUGAAUCGUAGAUCCAAAACAUAUGAGCUCCAUUGUGCCAUCAAGCUGCAUGCAAGGACUAUGGCCAUCCGAAAAGCAGGGAAGGAUGCAGAGCAUCCGGUCGUCUCACUCUCUCGUAGGCUUUGAGGGAUCGGGAGAUCCAGAUUUAUCUUCGUUAAUGCAUCUCCACCAAACAACAACCGCAAACAAAGAAAGAGCCAUACCAUACAUGCAAAGAGCCUAACCCAUCACGAGAACACUCCCAGAACUUCAAGAAACUGAGGAUGAAACAUGCAGGACCCAAAAUGAAACACUUCUCCAUGAGAAACCGCCUGCAGCAACGAAACUCAAAACAAAACUCAUAUAUACAGCCAACCUAGAAAUGGAAAUAGGAAAAUGUUGCACUGUCCUUGAGUUGUGCGUUGCACUGUGCAAACUGUCUUUACGAAUAUAAAGGACUCUUUCGGGAUUAAAUAGAUUCUUUUGGAGAAAUUCAGAAUCAGAAAAGGAAGGUAGAGAAAAC
rnacentral:lncRNA from 1 species